UCUGUCUAUGGUCACCAGCCAACAAGAUCUCCCUGCCCCCCACCUCAAGAAUACCACCAUGCAAACCCGCAGACCACGGAGGGCCAGCUCAGGUCUGGAUAUAUGCUUGGCAACAAAGCAGCGGUGGUACGAUGUAGACGCAGAUGUUCUGUUACCUAAGGAGGCCCACUUGGGCCAUAAACCCCAGCUGGAAGAUGCCCUUCUCUUCCCAGAGGCUGGAGGAGCCGUUUGUGGGGAGCCACGGAGUCACGUGAGUGGGUGCCCAGGCCAGGCAGAUUGUCCCCCGGCGCCUGCUUACACGGCAGCCCACGCAGAUGAGCCCCUAUAGACACAGAAUUCGUUUCCCUACAAAUGUCUGUGGUUGUAGCAAAUAAGGACUGGGAGACACUAAAGCCUACUCAAUUCUGUGGAAGAUGCCGCCUGGUGUUCGGAGGCGUUUCGGAGAGCUGUGUUAGCCACCUGUCAGGAAUGAUGAGGGAAGCAGACGGAGCUCUUUGGAGAAGCAUCAAACAAGUGUGAGGUGAAUCUGCAGGGAGAAGAUCAGGAUCCAAGCUCUGGAGAAGGUGCCAGUCCCAUUCCGGGUGAAUCUUCCCUCUUCAUCUAAACCUUUCUAGAAAUACUCUCAGAGACGUCGCCAGAAGAGUGUUUCCAGAGGUGAUUCAAACUCCAGUCAGGCUGACAGUGACGUCCCAAAGAGCCUUCCCAAACCACCAGCGGGACAUUAAUUCUGAAGUGAAAGUUGCAUGAGGAGAUAAGAGUCUCAAGGCCCUGACACAGACGCUGGGGACCUCAUUUCCAGCCCAUUAAGUGGGCAUCAAUGGACACCGCAACAAGAAGGGGGAGAGAAGGUGACCGGCUUUGAGUUCUGACUCAUACUUCAAGCUAUCCCUGGAGUUGGGAAACAAAGAGAGGACCUGAGUUCAGCCCCCAGCACCACCUCUAACUCCAGCCCUCGAGAAUCUGAAGCCCACAGUGUGGGUGGCUGUGCUUGAUGACAAAGCUCCAAGUCCUUCCAGAUCAGGUGGGUGGCAGCGGCCGGCCUGAAGACCUGGUCUCCUGCUCGCCAGCCGGCCUCUGCACCGCCCACCCCCCAAGGUGCUGGCUCUAGACCUCGGUCCCUGACAGACCUCCCACUGAAGCCACCUUGUCCCAACUGCGGAAAGAAACAUCACCACACACACUAUGGUAUCUGCUAUGCCUGUCACAUCACUUGUGCUACCUACAUCACCUGGUUCUCUCAUUAACCUUUUACUUUGUGUCAA